UACGGGGGGGGCAAGCGUUGUUCGGAAUUACUGGGCGUAAAGGGCUCGUAGGCGGCCAACUAAGUCAGACGUGAAAUCCCUCGGCUUAACCGGGGAACUGCGUCUGAUACUGGAUGGCUUGAAUCCGGGAGAGGGAUGCGGAAUUCCAGGUGUAGCGGUGAAAUGCGUAGAUAUCUGGAGGAACACCGGUGGCGAAGGCGACACCCUGGGCCGGCAUUGACGCUGAGGAGCGAAAGCGAGGGGAGCAAACAGG
rnacentral:rRNA from 1 species